AAGAUUAAUUUUGCUACUUGCUAUUAUUAAUUUAUUGUAGUGUAAGUAUCCCCUUUACGCAGUACCAAGUGCAAAAAAAAAUGAUCCAAGUAGGAAAUAAUUAAAUAAUUUAGAGGAAGUGUUCACAUGGUGCUCCAAGUAUAAUAGCCUCGGGAAGUGUUUAAUUUUGUAUUCCAACUCUCAUAAAGGAAUUUUGUUAUAACGUUUCCUUUCCAUUUUGCUGAUAUUUCGUUAAUGUAGAUCAAUGAAGUAUGCAAAGGUUAUGUGAUUGAAAUUGGCUGGAGAGACAGCAAGUACAUUCCUUCUUUAGAGGAGCAUUUGAAGGUCACACUCGUUACAUGCUUCUAUUGGGGGAUUAAUUGCACAGCUUUUGUUGUCUUUGAAGAGAAUGUUACAGAAGAACUUCUGAAAUGGGUGUCAAAAUUUCCACAAAUUGUAAAGGAUUCAUGUAUUAUAUCUCGGCUCAUGGAUGAUAUUGUUGCCCAUGAGUUUGAAACAGAGAGAAACAAUGUUGCUACAGCUGUAACUUGCUACAUGAAAGAGUAUAAGACAACAAAGCAAGAAGCAAGCGAGGUGCUCUGGGGCUCAGUGGAAAAUGCAUGGAAGAGUAUGAAUCAUGAGUACCUCACUUGGACUUCAAUACCAUCCCAUUUGCUUAUUCGUGUGAUUAACCUUGCAAGAAUGAUGGAGACAAUGUACAAGGACAUAGACGGAUACACAGAUUCAAAAAUAUUGAAAAAGUGGAUAUCUGUUCUACUUGAUGAACCGAUUCACAUCUAGGGUACUGUCCUAAGAAUAAUGUUUUCACGUAUCACAACAAUAAAAGUUCUUGUACUGCAAGACCAAAUUCGUUAUU